rnacentral:rRNA from 1 species
UACGUAGGGACCAAGCGUUGUUCGGAUUUACUGGGCGUAAAGGGCGCGUAGGCGGCAUGACAAGUCACUUGUGAAAUCUCUGGGCUUAACCCAGAACGGCCAAGUGAUACUGUCGCGCUAGAGUGCAGAAGGGGCAAUCGGAAUUCUCGGUGUAGCGGUGAAAUGCGUAGAUAUCGGGAGGAAUACCCAUGGCGAAGGCAGUCCACUGGGCAUCAACUGACGCUGAGGCGCGAAAGCGUGGGUAGCAAACAGG